rnacentral:lncRNA from 10 species
CCACGUUUUUAUGUUUUAUUUUGUUUUGUUUUGUUUUUUUCUUUUCAGGAGAGUUAGUCCAAGACCAAUAACUCCAUAACUGGUAGAAUUGGAAGACUUUAAUAGUGCAUAACAUUUUGUACAUAGUUUUAUAACAGUUUUCUUUUUCUUUUUUUCUGAUUCUUUUCAAUAUACCCCAUCAUGAUUGAACUCAAAGUCAUUGCUUGUUUAAAAUCUACAACUGCUGACGUUUUGUAACCUUCGCAUUCCAGAUACAACAGAGAAAUGCAUAAUGUCCAGUGAAUUUAUUAAAGUUCCAAAGUCGGUCGCGCGCAGUGGCUCACGCCUGUAAUCUCAACACUUCGGGAGGCCGAGGCGUGUGGAUCACGAGGUCAGGAGCUGGAGACUAGCCUGACCAACAUGGUGAAACCCCGUCUCUACUAAAAAUACAAAAAUUAGCCAGGCAUGGUGGCACGUGGCUGUAAUCCUCGCUACUCAGGAGGCUGAGGCAGGAGAAUUGCUUGAACCUGGGAGGCAGAGGUUGCAGUGAGCCGAGAUGGCGCCACGGCACUCCAGCCUGGGCGAAAGAGUGAGACUCCUUCUCAAAAAAAGAAAAAAAAAAAAGAGUUGCUAAGUCAUACUCAACUUUCUGCUCUUGUCAGACAAUUAAGGGGUCUUUGAAUACUUCAGCCCUAAUAAUUUUCUUCCUAAGGUACACAUUGCAGUGCUUAUCUAAUUUUAAAUAUCUUUUUGUUUCAACACCUGAUUUUUUAUUUAGAUCUAUCUGUAUGUUUACAGUAUAUUUUGUUCUGUGUUCAUUCUUUGAUUUCAGAACUUCAACCUUUCUGAAGCAUGUUUUCAGUUUCUCUUUAGUUUCUUUAGUGGAAUUCUGCUGGUGGCAUUUUGUUUUUUGUCUCUAAAUAUGUUAUUUAGCCAUAGGUUGAUGAAUAUUUUUCUUGGUUGAGAAUUUCAGAAUGACAUUAUUAUUCUUAACAAAUAAUAUUGUUUAUUUUACCUUUCAUUCUUUCCUAUUUCAAUAUGAUUAAAGAUAAUUUGAUUUUUCUAGUGCUAAUUGAAAUAUUUUUCCCUUACUGAUUCUUUACUAUUUCUCUAGGAGAUACAUAGUUGUAGGUUUAUCUCCAUUGUAGCUUGCUUAGCAUGCAUGGAAUUUUUGAAUAUGCAGAUUAGUGUCUUACAAAAGUCUAGAGAACUUUCAGCCAAAUUACCAUCACAUAUUGUCCCUUCCCAGUUCCCUUCUUCUAUAAGAACACUCACUAAACACAUGCUACACUUUCUCACUGUAUCUUCCAUGUCUCUUCAUGAUUCAGUCUACAUUUUGCAUUUUUCAAAAUUUUCUGUAAUGCAUUCUGAAAUAUUUAUUAACUCCCA